rnacentral:lncRNA from 1 species
CUCCCCCUUAAAGUUAUUUUUUGAAAGCUAUCCCAAACUCGUUGUAGAAGAACUCAAACGAAACUUUGAACCAUGCCUUAGUGAAGCUCUUAACAUUUUUUUCUGAACUCCGCUUUCUCCUUUCAAUGUUGAAGAUUUUCCGUCAUUGAUUUGUCCUUGUCGUGUUUUAUGAUGUUGAGUUUUCGAGCUCCCCCUUUCUCCGAACUCCUCCACAACUUCAUUAUCUGGAGACACACAUGUGAUGGAAAAGUUUAGAGCUCUAGCAUUCAAGAUUUUAGAACUUACUCUUUCUGAAGCAACUUCAUAAUACAAGGACAUUUCAUCUGUAUCCUCCUCCUUAUUUGAUUCGAUGAUGAUCUGAUCAUUAAUUUUCUGUAAAUCCUUAGCACCAUAAUAGGAUCCACCACUAGAUUCUGUUUCUAGCUCUUCAAUCAUAUUGUAUAUCUCUCCAUAUGAAAUUAGGUCUUUAAUUUCAACGUCUUCAUUUAUUUGAUCUUUAGCUUCUUCAUCAACUUUCAAUAUUUGCUCUGAGCUAGUGAUUGACCUUGAUACGAUGGAUGACUGGUUCGAGACUUCAGCUUCCACUACAUCUCCCUUAAUGCUUUCUCCGAUAAAGUCAUCACUGGCAUAUUAAUUUUCAGAUACUAUCUUCUCAUAAUCUACUUCAAUAUCUUUCACAUUCAGACUCUUAUAGCCAAUUUAUGGAUCUACUUCUUUAAUUUCCUCUAUAGCAGCUACCACAUCUCCAGUGGCAUAUUAAUUUUCAGAUACUAUCUUCUCAGAAUCUACUUCAAUAUCUUUCACAUUCAGACUCUUAUAGCCAAUUUAUGGAUCUACUUCUUUAAUUUCCUCUAUAGCAGCUACCACAUCUCCAGUCUGAAUGUCUUCAGUAUUCUCUUGCUUCUUAUCAGUGUCUUCCUUCUCCACAUGAUGAAUUGUUCAGUAUUCUCUUGCUUCUUAUCAGUGUCUUCCUUCUCCACAUGAUGAAUUGUAUUAUAUCCGACCUAAUCUCUUUUAAAAUUUAUGAAAGCCAAGACAUCUAUUGCUUGACUCUCAAUUGUUAAGCAUCUUCUCCAAUAUUCUUCUUCUUCAACAACUUUUUCAGUUUGAACCAUGUUGCUUUCUGUGGCUCGAAAAUAUCUUCUUAUAUGUCCUACUUUGCCACAUCGAUAAUAUUUGAGAUGUUUUUUACUAUAAUAAUUGUUAAAAAACUUUUCCUUUUUUCCAGGCAAGCUUGAACCACGUGAUAAUUGAGUGUGAGGCAUAACUCUUGCUUUUCCUUUAACGCCCCUCUUAUCAACUACAAAAGCAUUUCCAUUUCUUUCUUUGACAAAUUCACCAGCCAAUUGUUUGGCUAAUACUCCGGUGACGGCAACAAAUUCUCAAAUUCCUCCAAGGAUGGUUGUUGAGUCCAUCCUUGAAUCGACGUCACAAAGGAAAUAUAUUCUGGCUUCAAUAUCUGUAGUUGAGCUUCAUUCUACUUGUUGAAUAACUAAUCGAGCGUCCUCCAUAUAUCGAAUAAACUGGAGGAGAUGGUUCUCUUCAAGGUGAGUUCCGCCUUCGCAUUAGUCUGCUUCCACUUCUUAUAUGCACCAUCAUUUUUCGGGUCAUCGACAGGAAGGCUUGUGUUACUUUUAUUGAUAAUAUUCCACAAGUCCUCACCCCUAAGGUAUGUUUUCAUACAUGUAUUCCAUAUCUUAUAAUUGGACUAAUUCAACAACUCCAUUCCUAAUCCAUUAGGAUGACCGCUCAAAUUCAUUCGCACAAACCAGUUGAAUUAAUCACAAACCCGAUCUUGAAAUAAACACAAGCCAAUCUAUGACUUUGGCUCUUAUACUAUAUAGAGAAUAGCAGAAGAAAGGCAUAUUUAAGAAACCUUCUGCUAAGGCAUAUUUAAGAAACCUUCUGCUAACCCAAAAUCGUUAACUAAGAUCGAAAGAUUCAACUAAGAAAAGAAAGUUAGAAAUGUGAAGAAAAAUAUUAAAAGGGAGAACUUAGAUUUGAAAGAAGACUACUUUAAUAUGCUUUGUAUUGUAUUGGAUUUAUUUUUGAAUAGUGUCAAACGUUCAAGGCCAUCCCUAUUUAUACUUGUUCAUGGAUGGUUCUA